GACGAACGCUGGCGGCGUGCCUAACACAUGCAAGUCGAACGGAGAUUCAGCAAUGGAUCUUAGUGGCGAACGGGUGAGUAACACGUAGACAACCUGCCUUCGAGAUGGGGACAACAAUCCGAAAGGAUUGCUAAUACCGAAUGAAUUUCUUUUGCCGCAUGGCGAGAGAAGAAAAGAUGGCCUCUAUUUAUAAGCUAUCGCUCGAAGAUAGGUCUGCGUCUGAUUAGCUAGUUGGUGGGGUAAAGGCCUACCAAGGCGACGAUCAGUAGCCGGUCUGAGAGGAUGAACGGCCACAUUGGGACUGAGACACGGCCCAAACUCCUACGGGAGGCAGCAGUGGGGAAUCUUCCACAAUGGACGAAAGUCUGAUGGAGCAACGCCGCGUGAGUGAAGAAGGUUUUCGGAUCGUAAAACCCUGUCUUUUGGGACGAAUGUGCAGCUUGUGAAUAAUGAACUGCAAUGACGGUACCAGAGGAGGAAGCCACGGCUAACUACGUGCCAGCCGCCGCCGUAAAAC
rnacentral:rRNA from 1 species